UACAGAGGGGGCUAGCGUUAUUCGGAAUUAUUGGGCGUAAAGGGCGCGUAGGCGGCCAUGCGUGUCUUCCGUGAAAAUCCCCUCGGCUUAACUGAGGAAGUGCACCCCGAAAACUGAGUGGCUAGAGUACGAAAAGAGGGGUCGCGGAAAUUCCCCGGUGUAGAGGUGAAAAUUCGUAGAUAUCGGGAGGAACACCGGUGGCGAAGGCGGCGACCUGGGUCGAUACUGACGCUGAUGCGCGAAAGCGUGGGGAGCAAACAGG
rnacentral:rRNA from 1 species